AAAAAGCAAAAACAAACAAACAAUAAACAAAACAAAACCCAAACAAAACUCUAUUCAUUCAUGUACACCACUAUUUAAUUGUUGUGAUGAAAAUACUAUACUACAACCCAAAUCACCGCAGCUUCCGUUAAAAACCAUUCACUCUGGCAGUUCCCAUUGUGGCUCAGCAGUUAAAGAAUCUGACUAGCAUUCAUGAGGACGCAGGUUCGAUCCCUGGCCUUGCUCAGUGGGUUAAGGAUCUGGCAUUGUCGUGAGCCGUGGUGUAGGUCAGUGGCUACAAAAAAUGAUCUAAUUUACCACACACCCCGAGGCUGAUAAAAGAUUGUUAGGGAAAUUUUUAACAGAGGAAAACAGCUUUAAUCCAAAUUCCAAUGAAAUUUUAAAUAUGCAGUUAUAUGAAGCAAUAUAUUCAAGAUAAGAACAUUCCAGAAUCCCUUUACAGGGGAACAUAGGCAACUCCUUUUCUAAUUGUAAAGUAGAACCAAAAUGAUAGUGAUCCUGUGGAUGGAUGAAAAGUCAUCCCACUCGGAGCCUGAAAGCAAUAGUCUUGGGUUUGGGAUUACAAUGAGACUUAGGUUUGAAUUCCACUAUUGCCACUGUAUAUAUUCCUAUGCCUUACUUCCUUUUCCUGUAAAAUGAGACAUUAGUAAUAACCACUUCUUCAGAUUGCUGAGGGGACAAAUUUAAAUACUGUAAAUAAAUUGCUUUCUUUCUAAUAAAGUACCUGGCACAUAGUAGGACGAUCCAUAAUAUUCCCUUUAUUUAUAUGUCAUCUUUCAGAAAAUAAAUGCCAUGUUUAUUAUACUCUGAAGAGGAAGAAAACUGUAUUUGUUACAUAAUUAAUCCAGAAGCACAUUGCAGGCUCUUCUUCACUUAUUUUGCACAUUUCCUGUCCAUUUUGACACCCUUUCCAUUGAAAAUGGCUCUAACACAAUCCCCUAACCUAUAUAAUACAUCUGUUGAUAGGUGGCUUUUAGGUACACGCUAGAUCUUGGGGACAAAAGAGAAUGGGAUGAAACUGCAGUGACACUUUGUUGUAUUCCUGGCAACUAACAGUGUGUUAAUCCAUGCAUAGCACUUUUUCCUUUGUCUCCAAAACUGCUACCCAUGUCAAAUCCUGAAAGUGGGAAGCUACAGCAGGUUCCUCCUCAAAAGCAGUAACCCACUAACCAUCAUUUUCACUUUUACCAAAUCCUCAUAAAUUAUUUCACAUCAGUUCAUUCUUUAAUCUGGAUGCAAAAUUUAAUUCAAUGCUUACAUAUUAAAUGAGAGGUUCUUAGUGAAUUUGACUAGCCUAAUAACUAGUAUGGAAUAAGAGCUCAACCAAUCCUUUUGAACCUAGAAAACAUUCUGAAGUAUCAGUCUAAAAUCAUAAAAGUAGUAACCUACACAUGUAUGAUUAUUUGCAAUAUAAACAUCUGUAGAUUAUCUUAAUUUCAAUAAUAGUAAGACCCAGACCCUUUAAAUUGGGUAAAUACUCAGAGAGAUAGAAAACAUUCUCAAGGUCAAAAGAAUAAAGAAAAGCAGAGUUGGGACUUGAAUACAGGUCUUCCACUCUAAAUCCAAAUCUCCCUCAAAGUCAGCCACUUCUUUACAAAAGUCAGGUUGCUGAUUCAGUAUUGAUAGAUCACAGGGCAACAAAAUGGCACAUAAUGAUUCAUGUUCUACAACUGCCCAUUUUAGGAAGGAUCAGCUCUUCUUAAAAAGCAAUGUGCUUUUUACUUAACAUAGCUCAUUGAGCAGUUAGGGGAAUGUGACACCAAUAGAAAGAGAUAGCCUUGACAGUAUGCUGAAUUUGAUAAAAGUUGUUUUAGAAAAUCUUGUGGAAGUUUGGAGUUCUGGGAAAUUCCAACUACAAUCUGCUGAUCAAAUUUCUAUUUAAGUUUUAAAAUAUUUGCAUUUUGUGAAAAAUAUAAUUCUCAUGUUUGUAUGCAUGUACAUUAUGCAAUGAAUAAACUACUAAAAGUUGUGUACACUAAUUUUAUAACACAAAUUAUUAUAUGCAUAUACCAGGGUGGCUUAAUCUUUCACAGAAUCAAUUAAUCUUAGAGCUAGCAAAAGUCCUCAGAACUUUAUCCAAAGCCACAUUUUACAGAUGAACACUCAGAUCCAGAGAAGUUAAGGAAGUGCCAGAGUUAGAGGCAGUAGUGAUAGACUAGAAGCCAAGUGCUCCACCUUCUAACCAAAUGUUUUUUUCCAUUGUACUAUUAGGAAAACAAAUAAAUGAGCAAAAAUCUUUGUGGUAAACCUUUUUGCAAAGAAAGUGCUAUUUUUGUACAUAUUCAAAAUUAAUACACCUCUUAUUCUGAUUCUUGAAGUUGUAUAUUGAAUUGCUUUUAAGUAGAAUGCAUGUAUGUGUAUAUACAAAUGCACAUAUCUAUAUUUACUUUGGUUUCCAUGGCAGCAGUUUGCUUGCUUCAAAUCAUUAGAUCCUCUACAGCAUGGACUUAUUUUUCUAAUCCCCAACAGUCCCCGACACAUUUCUAAUAUUGCCAUAUGCAUACUGGGUACUUGAUAAAUAUUUGUGAUUGCUGACAGAACUGCCCCUGCUGAUAAACUACUGUUGGAAAAGCCUGAGGUCUAUAUUAGGGAGAAGCUUUUCUCUUUUAAACUAUCGAUUGACUCUUGCAUGACAUUUAAUAAAACCUUUCCAUUACCAGUUGCAUAACAGCAAUUAAAACCCUCAUCAAAUCCAUCUUAACUGCUUAGAGUCUUCCACAGGGGAGCAUUUUCCUUGGCAAACAUCUGCAAUAAAAGGCCAUUUAAUCUUCAUAAGUGAAACAGUCAGUUAUGUUAAUUCGUCUCUUUUAUUGUCAGUUUACAUUGGAAUCACACACUGCUUUGGUCCUUUCAAAAGGUACAGAAGAGAGCAUAACUGCUUUAGUAAAAAGAGCUGGUAGUGAGGUCGCUGUCACUGGAAGCCACGUCUGGCUCAAGUGAUCAUUUGUCAAUAUCAAUAUAGAAAGGAUUUCUCAUUGGGAGUGAAUUGGACUAAUGAAGAUCUAUGAUAUGUUACAAUUAAAGAUUCUUUAUUUCUAGGCUCUCUCAGCCUAAAAACAACACUCUCAAACACAGAGAGUGAUUCCAUAUUAAAAUUCUGGGAGUUCCUGUUGUGGCUCAGCAGAAAUGAAAUCAACAGUAUUCAUGAGGAUGCAGUUUCAAUCCCUGGCCCUGAUCAGCUUUUCCAUGAGCUAUGGUGUAGAUCACAGACAUGGCUCAGACCUGGCAUGUUUCUCUGGCUAUGGCAUAGGAUGGCAGCUGCAGCUCCAAAUCGACGCCUAGCCUGGGAACUUCCAUAUGCCACACUGGCAACCCUAAAAAUAAGGAAAGAAAGAAGGAAGGAGGGAAGGAGGGAAGGAGUGAAGGGGGGGGGGAAGGAAGGAAAGAAGGAAAGAGAGAGAGAGAGAGAAAAAGAAAGAAAGAAAGAAAGAAAGAAAGAAAGGAAGGAAGGAAGGAAGGAAGGAAGGAAGGAAGGAAGGAAGGAAGGAAGGAAGGAGGAAGGAAGGAAGAAAGAAAAAGAAAAUUCUGAAACCAGGAUUCAAAGAUGGGGGGAAAAUAUCUGUUUAUGCUUCAUUAUCCUUUUAAAAUUCUUUAAAUUUGUUUUACUUAAUAAUUAGAUGUAGAAAUACUUAUUUUUGAGCAUUUAAGUAAAAAUAAGGCAAGACCUAAAACUAUAUAUAAUACAACCUUGACAUAAUAAUAGUAGUAAUCUGAGUAUAUUGAACACAGGCAUGAACCAGGCACCAUGUUAGAGUCUCUGGUUGCUUUGCUAUCUGGUCAUACACCGAUCAUGUAUGUGUUGCUGAGUCUUUUCAAAUAAAGAACUUCCUGGAAUGAGUUACUUUUUUUUUAUUAUUAAAUUUUUUCAUUAAGGGAUGAUUGAUUUACAAUGUUCUGUCAAUUUCUGCUGUACAGCUAUAUACAUUCUUUUCUUUUUUCAUACUAUCUUCCAUCAUGUUCUAACUCAAGAGAUUGGGCAUAGCUCCCUGUGCUGUACAGUAGGACCACAUUGCUUAUCCAUUUUAUUUUAUUAUUUUUAUUUAUUUAUUUUUUCCCACUUGUAAAGCAUGGGGAUCA
rnacentral:lncRNA from 1 species